GUUCGAGCGUCAUUAUGACCAACAUCACGCCUGGCGUGGUCUUGGGGCUGGCAACUCUGCCGCCCUCAAACGCAGUGGCAGCGCCGCAUGGCUCUUAGCGUAGUAAUACUCCUCGCUAUAGGGUCCUACGGUUGCCCGCCAGCAACCCCCAAUCUUUACAGGUUGACCUCGGAUCAGGUAGGGAUACCCGCUGAACUUAA
rnacentral:misc_RNA from 1 species